GCGCCCUCAGCCGCGGUAAUGCUUAAGGGGCUAGCGUUAUCCGGAAUUAUUGGGCGUAAAGCGCGCGUAGGCGGUUUUUUAAGUCUGAUGUGAAAGCCCACGGCUCAACCGUGGAGGGUCAUUGGAAACUGGAAAACUUGAGUGCAGAAGAGGAAAGUGGAAUUCCAUGUGUAGCGGUGAAAUGCGCAGAGAUAUGGAGGAACACCAGUGGCGAAGGCGACUUUCUGGUCUGUAACUGACGCUGAUGUGCGAAAGCGUGGGGAUCAAACAGGAUUAGAUACCCUGGUAGUCC
rnacentral:rRNA from 1 species